rnacentral:lncRNA from 1 species
CCUGGAUGUCCUAGCCGUGUCUGAAUCCUGGCUGAGGAAGACCACCAAAAACUCUGAAAUCUCCAUCCCUAACUACAACAUUUUCAGACAAGAAAGAACAGCCAAAGGGGGCGGUGUUGCAAUCUACUGCAGAGAUAGCCUACAGAGUUCUGUCCUACUAUCCAGGCUUUUCACUACAUGUUGGAACAUUGCUGCGGGGACUUGCUUCUAUUCAGCCACAAGAGCAUUAGUGAGGCCGUGCACUGAUGUUGGGCUAUUAGGCCUGGCUCGCAGUCUGCGUUCCAAUUCAUCCCAAAGGUGUUCGAUGGGGUUGAGGUCAGGGCUCUGUGCAGGCCAGUCAAGUUCUUUCACACCAACCUCCACAAACCAUUCUGUAUGGACCUCACUUUGUGCACUGGGGCAUUGUCAUGCUGAUACAGGAAAGGGCCUUCCCCAAACUGUUGCCACAAAGUUGGAAGCACAGAAUCGCCUAGAAUGUCAUUGUAUUCUGUAGCGUUAAGAUUUCCCUUCACUGGAUCUAAGGAGCCUAGCCCAAACCAUGAAAAACAGCCCCAGACCAUUAUUCUUCCUCCUCUAAACUUUAGUUGGCACUAUGCAUUGGGGCAGGUAGCAUUCCCCCAGAUCCAUCCGUCGGACUUCCAGAUGGUGAAGUGUGAUUCAUCACUCCAGAGAACGUGUUUCCACUGCUCCAGAGUCCAAUGGCGGCGAGCUUUACACCACUCCAGCCGACGCUUGCAUUUAGCAUUGUGUGGCUGCUCAGCCAUGGAAACCCAUUUCAUGAAGCUCCCGAAAAACAGUUCUUGUGCUGAUGUUGCAUCCAGGGGGAGUUUGAAACGCAGUAGUGAGUGUUGCAAAAAAGGACAGACAAUUUUUGUUGUUGAUUUGAAACAAUUAUGUAAUCAUUCUUCUUAAACUGUCUGGCUAGCUAGCUAACACAUUUUUAAAAUGCAUUAUUUUACACAAUAGCUGCCACGUUCACCACCCUGUGAAGUUCAUCAUAACUUAUUUCAUCUGUAGCCUAAUAAACUCAAUGGUUUCCCGAGUCAUAGUGGGGGAGGACCACACACCAUAUCAUCGAAUGACUCCAAGUUUACUUCGAUAUGGUGGUUAUUAUAUCAAUAUUUGUGCAUAAGGACAUUUCCACCGCCAUUUCUCUCAUAAUUCAAUUUACCGACACAAAAGGAUCUCACCAUGUCGAAUGAACAAAUGAUCUGUUGGCAUUUAUAAAACUGUACCGAAAUGUCCUGUUUCCGUCACAGCUGUCAUGAUUUCCAUUUAUAUGGUAUGACUUCACCCGCAUAAAAACUGUGAAUGGAAACGUGGUUACUGACAGGGAUAUUAUGUUGCACGCAAAUAGGUUGAUGCAGCAUUUUGGAAGAAAAUGUUGUGUAGAUUCUAUUCUGUUAAAACUGUACCCCUUGAACCAAUUCCUAUUUUGCUUAAUGAUGAUUUACAUGCAGCUGAACGAGAAACAAUCUAAGGUUUGGCUUGCUGGGUUGACUGCUGACCAAAAGCACGCCGCUGGUUGCCACCACACCACCUUCACAUUAGAAAAUAGAUCGCAUAGGACGUGGUUAUGAUAGAACUAUCCACUGCCAUCAUGAAUAACACCAAGCCCUUUACUUUAGAAAUGUGGAAAAUAGCUGCCUCAGAAAUCACAGAUUUGCUGGAGAGGGUGUAGGUGAGAUGUUAAAACGUUUUGGUUGUGGUGAUGCAUAUUCUUAAAUAUUCUUCUUAUUGUUUGUUUAUUAUUAUCUUUAGAUGUUGGUGUUUUUGUUCUUUAUAUUGGGUGUACACCUAGGUUGGG